rnacentral:rRNA from 1 species
CCUACGGGUGGCAGCAGUGAGGAAUAUUGGUCAAUGGGCGCGAGCCUGAACCAGCCAAGUCGCGUGAGGGAAGACGGUCCUAUGGAUUGUAAACCUCUUUUGUCGGGGAGCAAAAGACGCCACGCGUGGCGUUCCGAGAGUACCCGAAGAAAAAGCAUCGGCUAACUCCCUGCCAGCAGCCGCGGUAAUACGGAGGAUGCGAGCGUUAUCCGGAUUUAUUGGGUUUAAAGGGUGCGCAGGCGGACGAUCAAGUCCGCGGUAAAACUGAGAGGCUCAACCUCUUCGAGCCGUUGAAACUGGUUGUCUUGAGUGAGUGAGAAGUAUGCGGAAUGCGUGGUGUAGCGGUGAAAUGCAUAGAUAUCACGCAGAACUCCGAUUGCGAAGGCAGCAUACCGGCGCUCAACUGACGCUGAUGCACGAAAGUGUGGGUAUCGAACAGGACUAGAUACCCUAGUAGUC